UGGAGUUUUGUAAGUGAGCCCAGAAUACAGGUAAGUGCCCUUUCUUUUCUGCUUUGGUUUAGUAACUAUGUAGCCAAGCUCUCUGGUAUACUUCAUAGCUAUAGCAUCUGUACACUCACUGUGACUAGGCUUCCUUCCAAAGGGAGAUAUGUGAAUGGAAGCUGUUUAAAUAGCACAAACACAAUAGGAUAUGAUGGGUGUGCUAAAUGUUUUCACAUCCUACAGAAAAAGACUGGCUUUAACAACUUUUACAAUGAAUAUGAGGAAGGAUUCUGAAGGCACAACUAUCUAUCCCUUCUUUGUUUGAAGGUGAAAUACUUAGUAACUUAUUGUUUACAAUGACGGAAUUAUUGUCCCUGCUUUAGGCUCAGUCUUUAGAAGAAUUGCUCUCAUCUUAUGUUUCAUCUUUUUCCCUGCCGUAAUUUAGCCAACUUUCUGUUCCAAUAUCCUAUACGUUCUGAUGGUCCUUUGUCUGAUUCUGGAGAAAUACGCCAUACCAAACUGAUUCAAUUAUUUGUCCUUACUUCUGGAUAUGGCAGCAGACUGAAAGAAUGAUUCUCCUUGCUGUUGAGAAAGCCACUUCCUGCUAGAAUAGAACAUUGCUUAUUAAGGGUAUGACUCAUCGUGAUGCACUUUUAUUGAAAUACUGCCAAACAACGCAGUUUCAUCAAACUACGUUAAGCUGUUGCCUUGGCAAACCAGAUUGAGACAUGCUAGGAUUAAUACCUUUUCCCAAGCUUUAAUGUUGUGUUCCCUAGCCAAAGGGUAACUGACAAUUUUUUACCCUGUUGUAUUUCAAGAAGAUGGUUCUAUAACAAGUUACCUGUGGUACAUGGUCAGUAUAGCGAAAAAAUAACCCUUCUGACCUCUGAAUCAUAGCUGAAAGUUUUUUAAACUAAACUUGCUAACUUUGCACUCCAGCAAAUUGUGAUUUCUCACUUGAUUUCUUCAGCUGGAUCACCUACCACUUCUGCACUGAAUAAGCAAUUACAAAAGAGAUGAUGAAUGGAAACUUCUUAAAUCUCUCCACCUGUGCCAGAAUGUCAAGUGAAUAGAUUCCAGCCAUAACAUUUAUGGCUUGAGCUACUGAGUGUAUGAUUGCUGUGAUAUAUCCUGGGGCAACCUAUUUGCUAAAAAUACUCAUGAUUCCUACAGACAUUCCUACACAGAUUCACAAAAGCUCCAUAUUGAUUACUGCUUUCUUUCUUUUACUGACCAUGUCCCUGUUAAUCACCUUUUACAUUAGUUGUAUUGCCAGUAAAUAUGUUUAUGAUGUUUGGGUAGGUUUUCUGUGAUAUUUUUAAUAUUCUAACAAAUCUUAAUGCAUUUCUCAAGUGGCACAGGUAUGAACAUGCAAUAUAAAAGUUGGUUUAAGCAUAAGCAGUUAGGUAGGUAAUACUGAACUAGAUGAAAAUGAUGUUAUCAUAGCGUAACUCAUGUGUUGCAGUUGUCAUUCAUGAUAAGCUCACUCUCUCCCUUUCUCCUUCCCCUCAACAUCCAGAGGAGCAAGCACCAUGAUCAAGCCUGACAUGAGCUCAGCAGAGCCACUGGACAGGAAAGUGAUGCUCGCUUCCAGCUGAGGAGUACCGAGGAGAGUUUGAUCAAGGUGUGUCUAGACUCAUCCCAGCUGAGCUCUAGGUGGCUGCAUGGCUGUCUCACCAACCUGCCCUUUGAAAGCAACACCUUGCUUCCCCUUAUCUGAAAUGGAGCUGGUGACAAUUGGUUAUCUCACAGGAUGAGCUGAAAUGGGUGCAUUCAGAUGUCUUCUGGUCAAGAAGAGGAGAAAGACCCCCGCUGCAGACACAUUGCACAGGAACACAGCAGAACCUGCAUACCGACCUCAAUUAUAUUUCCCGCGCUGGGUGCAAGAUUGGAUUUAGAAAACGUGAGUGGUGAGCAGGGGCAAUCGCUCAGUCCUGCAGUACAGGUGCCUGGGUAGAGCCCGCCGUGCCCAUCUCCAGAGCCAGACAGCACCCCACAGGCACCAUGCUUCCACCCAGCACGGGCAACGCAGCACCCAGCACGCUUCCCAGGUACCUUGCAGCUUCUGGCCGUACUCUGUCCUGUCCGACUGACUCCUGCGCAAGGCACCGUGCUCCCCUGCCCCGCUGCUCUCUACCACGGGCUCCGUCCUCCUCCUCUCCCCCAUGUACAGCCUGUGCCGCAGCAGGGCCAAAUUCUUCCUCCGGCCCCCUAUGCCGUCCGUGCUCGCCAUGGCCAGGCUGGCCAGGGAUGAGGGGUGAUCUUGGGCAGGCAGCUCACUGCUCAGG